CUUCCUCUGGGAGCGGACUGCUGCCUUCCCAGGGGCCCGGCAGCUCCGGGGGCAGGGCCGGCGGGCGGUGGGCUCAGGCCAAUGCCAGCGUGCCCGGGUCGGCCUCGGACCCUCUGUGCGCCCUGGCCUCUAGCUGGGGCCUCCCAGGCCAGGGACAAAGGCUUGUGCACAGGGCUGAGGGCUUCACUGGGCUCCUUACCAAGCUGGUGAGAGGACCUAUAUAAGCCUCCAGGGAUCUAGAAAUCAAUAAAGAUAUAUUCUGCCCUCCUGAAACCUACCGACGCUCGGCUUAGAACCGAAAUCACAGUCACGUUGUGUGGGUGCCGCUUCCGGAGCAAACUCAGUCCCGGGGGACCCGAGGAGUGUCAGCUGCGCCUGGCUGGCUGGAAGAGGAGGAGUCCCAGGGGAGGAGCACACUCAGGAUGUGGAGGGACGAGGAGGAGGAGGAGGUGAAGGGCCUUCAGGGCAAGGGGAAGGGGACCAGCUCCCUUGAGUGCCUCCCAGGUGGCAGCCCCUGCACCUGGCGUCCCCGUCACCUCAUCAGUCCGCCCCGCAGCUCCACGCGGCCGGCAUGGGGCUCCUUCGUACAUGUCACUGACGACGGGGAAGCGGAGGCUCAGAAGGGACCGGCAGCUUUCCCGAAGCCACACCACUGCCACCUGCUAGACCUGGGGCGCCGGCCCAGGCCCGCCGGUCUGACUCCAACGUCUGGGGCCUGGAUUCAUCUCCCCUCCCUCAGAGCAUCACCCCCCGCCCGACCCCCGAGGUGAGGGUGAGGGAGGAAGCAUCCCCAUCAGCACCCGCCUCUGUCAGGCAACGCAGGAGGCUCACUCAGGCACUCGAUGAACACACAUUUACCCACCCCUCCUCUGGGCCAGGCCCCGUGCUAGGCUCAAGGCGACAGCAGUGACAAGAGAGGUCCCUGCCUGCCAGCUUGGAGCUCCCUAGAAGGGGGAGUCUGUGGGGAGCCCUGGUUUGCCCAGGCUUAAAAAUAAACCCAGGUGCUGGACAGA